rnacentral:rRNA from 1 species
UACGGAGGAUGCGAGCGUUAUCCGGAUUUAUUGGGUUUAAAGGGUGCGUAGGCGGUUUUUUAAGUUAGUGGUUAAACGUCGGGGCUUCACCUUGAUUUGCCAUUAAUACUGUAAGACUCGAGUUCAGACGAGGUAGGCGGAAUAAGUUAAGUAGCGGUGAAAUGCUUAGAUAUCAGGAGGAACAUCGGUGGCGUAAGCGCUUUACUGGGCCGUAAUUGACGCUGAGGAACGAAAGCCAGGGUAGCAAAUGGG